UGAUAGGUAGCCAAGAGGUAAGGCACGACGCUGUUAACGUCGCUAUCGUCGGUUCGAAUCCGACCCUAUCAGCCA
rnacentral:tRNA from 1 species